GAGACCUGGGUUUAAUCCCUGGGUUGGGAAGAUCCCUUGGAGAAAGGAAAGGCCACCCACUCCAGUAUCCUUCCCAGGAGAAUCCCAUAGACAGAGAGGCCAAGAGUCGGACGACUGAGGGACUAAGCCCAGCACAAUAUCUUAAUGGCCUCUGGAAGCAAACUAGAAUCCAAGCCUUAAGCGCCUGGAGGUUAGGAAAUCAAAACCUAAGGACAAUCUGUCAGAAACAGACACUGAGCUUGGGGUCUAGAGCCCGGGAGCCACAACUACUGAAGCCACAAGAGAAGCCACAGCAACGAAAAGCCCACGUACCACACCUAGAGAGGAACCCCUGCUUGCCAAGACUAGGAAACAGCCUGAGCAGCAAAGAAGACCCAGCACAGCCAAAAGGUCUCCAUGCCUCCCAGGAGCCAGGAGGCACAAUCCUGCCUGCCAUCACCUAGACUGCUUGAGUCCUGAGAAGGAUAUGGU
ensembl:lncRNA